rnacentral:rRNA from 1 species
UCGGGAAUUUUGGGCAAUGGGCGAAAGCCUGACCCAGCAACGCCGCGUGAGGGAUGAAGUAUUUCGGUAUGUAAACCUCGAAAGAAUGGGAAGAAUAAAUGACGGUACCAUUUAUAAGCUCCGGCUAACUACGUGCCAGCAGCCGCGGUAAUACGUAGGGAGCAAGCGUUGUUCGGAUUUACUGGGCGUAAAGGGCGCGUAGGCGGCGCGGUAAGUCACUUGUGAAAUCUCUGAGCUUAACUCAGAACGGCCAAGUGAUACUGCUGUGCUAGAGUGCGGAAGAGGCAACCGGAAUUCUUGGUGUAGCGGUGAAAUGCGUAGAUAUCAAGAGGAACACCUGAGGCGAAGGCGGGUUGCUGGGCCGACACUGACGCUGAUGCGCGAAAGCGUGGGGAGCAAACA